CAUGCACGAAAGCGUGGGGAGCAAACAGGAUUAGAUANNNUNGUAGUCCACGCCCUAAACGAUGUCAACUAGCUGUUGGGGUUUUCGGACCUUAGUAGCGCAGCUAACGCGUGAAGUUGACCGCCUGGGGAGUACGGUCGCAAGAUUAAAACUCAAAGGAAUUGACGGGGACCCGCACAAGCGGUGGAUGAUGUGGAUUAAUUCGAUGCAACGCGAAAAACCUUACCUACCCUUGACAUGUCUGGAAUCCCGAAGAGAUUUGGGAGUGCUCGCAAGAGAACCGGAACACAGGUGCUGCAUGGCUGUCGUCAGCUCGUGUCGUGAGAUGUUGGGUUAAGUCCCGCAACGAGCGCAACCCUUGUCAUUAGUUGCUACGAAAGGGCACUCUAAUGAGACUGCCGGUGACAAACCGGAGGAAGGUGGGGAUGACGUCAAGUCCUCAUGGCCCUUAUGGGUAGGGCUUCACACGUCAUACAAUGGUCGGGACAGAGGGUCGCCAACCCGCGAGGGGGAGCCAAUCCCGGAAACCCGAUCGUAGUCCGGAUCGUAGUCUGCAGCUCGACUACGUGAAGUCGGAAUCGCUAGUAAUCGCGGAUCAGAAUGUCGCGGUGAAUACGUUCCCGGGUCUUGUACACACCGCCCGUCACACCAUGGGAGUGGGUUCUACCAGAAGUAGUUAGCCUAACUGUAAGGAGGGCGAUUACCACGGUAGGGUUCAUGACUGGGGUGAAGUCGUAACAAGGUAACCAAGGGCGAA
rnacentral:rRNA from 1 species